CCUACGGGAGUCUGCAGUGGGGAAUAUUGGACAAUGGGCGAAAGCCUGAUCCAGCCAUGCCGCGUGUGUGAAGAAGGCCUUCGGGUUGUAAAGCACUUUCAGUGGGGAAGAAAGCCUUGGGGCUAAUACCCUCGAGGAAGGACAUCACCCACAGAAGAAGCACCGGCUAACUCCGUGCCAGCAGCCGCGGUAAUACGGAGGGUGCGAGCGUUAAUCGGAAUUACUGGGCGUAAAGCGCGCGUAGGCGGUCUGAUAAGCCGGUUGUGAAAGCCCCGGGCUCAACCUGGGAACGGCAUCCGGAACUGUCAGGCUAGAGUGCAGGAGAGGAAGGUAGAAUUCCCGGUGUAGCGGUGAAAUGCGUAGAGAUCGGGAGGAAUACCAGUGGCGAAGGCGGCCUUCUGGACUGACACUGACGCUGAGGUGCGAAAGCGUGGGUAGCAAACAGGAUUAGAUACCCGAGUAGUC
rnacentral:rRNA from 1 species